UACGUAGGGUGCGAGCGUUACUCGGAAUUACUGGGCGUAAAGCGUGCGCAGGCGGUCUGUUAAGACCGAUGUGAAAUCCCCGGGCUUAACCUGGGAACUGCAUUGGUGACUGGCAGGCUUUGAGUGUGGCAGAGGGAGGUAGAAUUCCACGUGUAGCAGUGAAAUGCGUAGAGAUGUGGAGGAAUACCGAUGGCGAAGGCAGCCCCCUGGGAUAACACUGACGCUCAUGCACGAAAGCGUGGGGAGCAAACAGG
rnacentral:rRNA from 1 species